GAUGAACGCUGGCGGCGUGCCUAACACAUGCAAGUCGAGCGAACAGACGAGGAGCUUACUCCUCUGACGUUAGCGGCGGACGGGUGAGUAACACGUGGAUCACCUACCUAUCAGACGGGGAUAAUUACGGGAAACCGGCGCUAAUACCGUAUAACAUCUUGAACCGCAUGGUUCAACAGUGAAAGACGGUCUUGCUGGCACUUAUAGAUGGAUCCGCGUCGCAUUAGCUAGUUGGUAAGGUAACGGCUUACGAAGGCAACGAUGCGUAGCCGACCUGAGAGAGUGAUCGGCCACACUGGAAGUGGCACACCGUCCAGGCUCCUGCGGGAGGCCGCAGUCGGGAAUCUUCCGCAGUGGGCGAAAGUCUUACGCAGCAGCGGCGCGUGUGUGAAGAAAAUCUUCGGAUCGUAAAACUGUGUUAUGAGUGGAAAACAACUGUGGCAGUAGCUAUGCCGGUCUUGACGGUACCUGAUCAAGAAGCAACGGCUAACUACGUG
rnacentral:rRNA from 1 species